AUGCACACGGGUCAGCAGCCCCUCUGCCCCUCGGCCCAGGUCUCCCUCCCUCGGAGCGUCCGUGGCAACCCCGUGCGGAGUUCAUCCUUUGUGAGCAGACGGCACUGUUCCCAGACGGGACUAACCCCCUGUAAACCCGUGGCUGGACUCCGGCCUGCCUGCCCCCGGCUCUUGGGCUCCCUGGAGCUUCCUCUACAAAACCGGCAUGCGCAGGGGAGGCACGUCACAGCGGCCCGGAUGCCGCCAUCGGACAAGACCGACGGUGCCGAGCGUGGGGAAGGAUGUGGGGGUCAGACUCUAGGACGCUGCGGGGGCAGGAAGCAGCGGACGGACUCGUCGUACAACCCGGCAAGCCCCCUCCUCAGCCUGUGCCCAGGAGACGUGAACACACACCCACGCAAAGAUGCGGACACGAACCUUCACGGCAGCACAUUCAUAGUAGCCCAACUGUGGGGACAGCCCACGUGUCCCCCCCACAGUGGACCGCUAUCCGGUCCGAACGAGGAGCAGGGCAGCGACGUGCUCCACAGCCUGGGGGGCCUCGGGCAUGUCAUGCUCAGCGGAGAGAGCCGGGUGCGAAAGGACACGUGUCCACGGUCCUGUGGGUAGGAACGUCCACAACAGCCAAUCCAC
rnacentral:lncRNA from 1 species